rnacentral:misc_RNA from 1 species
GAUGAAGAACGUAGCGAAAUGCGAUAAGUAAUGUGAAUUGCAGAAUUCAGUGAAUCAUCGAAUCUUUGAACGCACAUUGCGCCCAUUAGUAUUCUAGUGGGCAUGCCUGUUCGAGCGUCAUUAAUUCCACUUAAGCCCUGCUUAGUGUUGGGAAUCUACUCUAGUGGUGCUACCCUGGAGCUACCCCUGAAAGGGGGCUGGCCCGGUAGCUACCCUGUAGUUCCUCAAAGAUAGUGCGCGGAGUUGCGUGGUCCUCUGAGCUUAGUAACUAUACACCUAGCUUUUGAGUGUCCCGCGGCGCCUGCCGUUUAAACCCCAUCUUUUAAUGGUUGACCUCGGAUCAGGUAGGAAUACCCGCUGAACUUAAGCAUAUCAAUAAGCGGAAGA